ensembl:lncRNA
AUGUAUAAAUGUAUGUGUCGUCUUAAUGUGUCCAAGAACAGAGUCACCCUAACGCUGCCUGAUGCCCGACACCGUGCUGCACGCUACCCCACCGAACUACGACGGAAGCACAGUGAUCCAUUGAUUGGUCAGAAAGCUCCAGUGGGCGUGGUUAAUGUACAGAUGGGGAGUAAUGGGUCUUUGAGAGCAGAGGUGUCCAGUCCUUGUCCUACAAGUCCCUGUACAGCAGACUGGGGUCGCUUCUCUUCUCCAACACACCUGGUUCAACGCUUCAGUCACCUGCAGUCUAAUAUCAGGUGUGUGUACUUUUUAAAUUUUUUUAAAGUUUUUUCUUCUUUUAAUUGUUUAAAAAAAAUUAAAAUAAUAAUCUCCACUUCUUCUCCCUCUUCUUCAAACACACACACACACACACACACACACACACACACACACACACUAAAGACGUGUUAAAGCACUUUUCAACCACAGGUGUGUGUUUGGGUCCAGGUGUGGUGAAACAGGUGUGUAGAUGCAUCCUUAUGCUGCUCAGUCGUUAACUUUGUCUUUUCUUUUUUAAUCUAAUUUGAUGUAUUUUUAAAAUAUCCUGUUUCAUGUUUUCUUGUCUGAAGCUCUUAGAAUGAAGCAGGUUAGAAAUAAAGAAGCUCUGAAAAACCCUAAAAUAAGAAAGGUGCUGAACUUUUGUUUCAUCAAUACACCUGUGUGUGUGUGCGCGUGUGUGUGUGUGUGUGUGUGUGUGUGUGUGUGUGUGCGUGUGCGUGUGCGUGUGUGUGUGUGUGUGUGUGCGCGCGCGUGCGCGUGCGUGUGCGUGUGUGUGUGUGUGUGUGUGUGUGUGUGUGCGUGUGUGUGUGUGUGUGUGUGUGUGUGUGUGCGCGUNGACUGAGACCGUGAGGGUCUCCGCCCACCCGGCCAAUCAUCAUCGUGUUUGUAAGUGCGUUACCGACACCUCUCUCUCCCUGGCUGCAGCUGAAGUGUUGCGGUCAGAAAGCCUCACGCUGUUGCUCAACGUUCGACAAGCACAUAGUAACGCACAACCUUCCGUCCCCAGUAACGGUAACGGCGUUGCAACGGCGGGAAAAGUAAUUAAUUCGAUUAUUCCGUUACCUAUAAAAGAACGCCGUUAGAAACGCCGUUAUACUUAAACGGCGUUACUCCCAACACUGGCCAGAUUACCGCACUUGCAACUUCAGGGCUGCCAAUCUGGUCCCUGUUGAGGCAGUUUCCCAUCUAGGCCAGCAUGAAGUGGGCUGGUUGGCAUUGGUCCAGCUCCAGCCUUAUUGAAGCAGCUGCUUACAGUAUUGCUGCUGCUGCUGUUUGGAUCGCUGGCUGUAGUACACAUAACACACUAGCUUGCAAUAUUAAGAAGGACAACACCUGUCCCCCUCCAGCUCGGCUGUGUGACUGCAAUAACCUGUCCUGUGUGACCCUCACCAUGUAACCCUUAUGUCCAUGCUGGCUCUGGAGGAGCAGAUAGGAAACAAGAUCUCCUGUAACUUAAAAUGAACCAAAGCUUCCUCCCGGUUUCUCUUUAAGCUGAAUUCAACAUCAGUUUAUCAUCAUGAAACAAAAGAAUAAAAUGGAACAAAAACUUCUAUCUUCUAUUUCUCUCUCCUAUUAAUUUCUCCAUGUCCCUAAAUAAGAGAGAUAGACGACUGUGUCACUGACUCUCUCUCUCUCUCUCUCUCUCUCUCUCCCUCCCUCUCUCUCUCUCUCUCUCUCUCUCUCUCUCCCUCUCCCUCCCUCCCUCGCUCUCUCUCUCUCGCUGUGGACGCGGGAACAUUUACGACCUAAUAUGAAGCACAUGUUCGGUUUGUCCUGCUCCAUCAAACAUUAGAAACUGGUAUCAAAUAGAAUCCAGUUCUACUUUUGCAGUUUUGAUCUUUGCUUCAUUUCAUUUUCAUGUGAACAAAAUAAAAUCUGCCUAAUAAACAUGGCUGCCAGAGGUCUCAGAGGGUCCCGCUCUGGCAGCUGGCCCACAUCAGGAUCUGAUGUAGGCAGGCACUUCCCCUUCAGCUGGGCCGGCAGCCAGCUGGAUCAGCAAGCUGCUGGACCGGACCGGACUGGGCCGGGCCGGGCCGAUCCGAGUCUUUGAUGGGGUAGAGUAAGCCCAGGGGGCAUUACAAAAUGCACAAGAAUGAAAUAAUGGGAGUGUCAUGCUAACACCGUUAUUAGAGUCAGGUUUCUCAUGAGCGCAGUGCGGAGCGCUGAUCCAGUUCUGGCUGGUUCUUCAGGGGCCAGUUAGGAGGAUCUAUUAGCAGAAAUGGGAUCUAUUGCUGACAAUUGUGUUUUCAUUCGCGUACACUCACCUGGAACCCGCAGUCCUGUUGGUGGCUCAGCCGGAGCGUUUCUGAGGAGCGCAGCAGCUCACGAUGAACAACCGCAGGGUUAGCAGGCAAGACCAUCGCAGAGCCAUCCACGAGCUGAGUAGGAGAGACAAAAUAACUCAUUAGAGGAAAUCUGCAGCCAAAUCCUCCGAGUUAAACGACCCACUUCCUGUUCACGUCAAACUCAAUGGAGUUCAGGUCAUCAGAACGUUCACAUCCAGGUUUCCAUGUUUCCGACAUGGAAAAGAAUCAUAUUUGAAAUCUAGAAGGAUUUACUGGAAAUAAUCCAUCCAUCCAUCCAUUAUCCAUCACCCAUCCAUCCAUCCAUCCAUCCAUCACUCAUCAAUUAUCCAUCAUCCAUCACCCAUCCAUCACCCAUCCAUUAUCCAUCCAUCCAUCCAUCAUCCAUCCAUCACCCAU